rnacentral:lncRNA from 1 species
GUCGCCGGCCUUCUUAAAUGGUGCAGGGACAGCGGCAACACUGCGACGCAGAGUUCCUUGACGACGGCAUCAGACUGACCAGAGACGAAUCGUGCCUGAACGGGCCCAAGAGGAUGGUGGCCGAAGGAUUUCUCUCGCCUCGCGAUUGCAGCCAGAUUACGAGGAACUUCGCGACAGCGUUGCGCAGCAAUGACCAACGAAAGAAAGCAUUAACUUGGUCUCGAGACGUCCAAGUUUGGAGUGCUGAUGCGAAAUGGCUCACUGAGGCGUUGCAGAUUUCGCCCAGCACUCUAGAUGUCGCUAACCUCGUCCUGGCGUCGUCGAGCAAAAUCCGCCGCUACGCAGAGGCCUACUUCGCGUUACGCUCGCCUCUUAAUUUCCACACGACUCGUCUCGA